GGAAGGCUGCAGGAUCUGUGUGUGAGAGACACGCUUUCUGAUGCAACUGCAGCCGCGACUCCUCUGUGCACUGCAGUCAGUGUGCUGGGAGUGGGACAGGGCUGGGAGGCGGAACACGUCUACUGAUGGGCCUGGAGUGGAGGCGGAGCAUUUUGUCCCUCCUGGAAUGGAACAUGUUGGAAGGUAUGCACAAGGCCUCCCUGCCUUGAGUGCCCCGGGCACCCCCAAGGAUUAAUCCAGCCCUGCAGCCGCGUUCUCCUGCUUGCGCCUGCGGAGAGCUGCAAUACCAUUGUCAUCCUCACUGCCGACGGCUGAGUCUGGGCUCUAUUGGAGGCUAUACCUGUGAUCUCCUCAGACCAAUUCUCUAUAUACACCUUUGGCGCGCCAUCAUCAUCUGGUGCACACCAUCUACCACUGCUGCUUUGCCGAAUUGGGAGUAUAUGCCAAAAGAACCCCAGCAGCAGUGAGCAUAUAAUACAAGUAAUCUGUGAUGGGAUUCUGGCUACAUUACUAAUGGUCCCAUUGUAUGGAACUUUAUAUCUAAUUACCGGGUACGCUUAUAUUAUAUGAGACUGUGUUCAAAUCUCCACAGGAGGGAUCAAGCUAAAUUAAUCGAUUUUAAUGCAAUCUAUGUGUUUUUAUAUUAUAUAUGCAGAUUAAAAUAUUGCUAAUUUUACAA